rnacentral:misc_RNA from 1 species
GACGGAGGGGGCUAGCGUUGUCCGGAAUUACUGGGCGUAAAGCGCGCGUAGGCGGCCUGCUAAGUCGGGCGUGAAAGCCCGGGGCUCAACCCCGGAGGUGCGCUCGAGACUGGCGGGCUGGAGUCCGGGAGAGGGUGGUGGAAUUCCCAGUGUAGAGGUGAAAUUCGUAGAUAUUGGGAAGAACACCGGUGGCGAAGGCGGCCACCUGGACCGGCACUGACGCUGAGGCGCGAAAGCGUGGGGAGCAAACAGG